UGGGGAAUAUUGGACAAUGGGCGAAAGCCUGAUCCAGCCAUGCCGCGUGUGUGAAGAAGGUCUUCGGAUUGUAAAGAACUUUAAGUUGGGAGGAAGGGCAGUAAGCGAAUACCUUGCUGUUUUGACGUUACCGACAGAAUAAGCACCGGCUAACUCUGUGCCAGCAGCCGCGGUAAUACAGAGGGUGCAAGCGUUAAUCGGAAUUACUGGGCGUAAAGCGCGCGUAGGUGGUUCGUUAAGUUGAAUGUGAAAGCCCCGGGCUCAACCUGGGAACUGCAUCCAAAACUGGCGAGCUAGAGUAGGGCAGAGGGUGGUGGAAUUUCCUGUGUAGCGGUGAAAUGCGUAGAUAUAGGAAGGAACACCAGUGGCGAAGGCGACCACCUGGGCUCAUACUGACACUGAGGUGCGAAAGCGUGGGGAGCAAACAGG
rnacentral:rRNA from 1 species